rnacentral:rRNA from 1 species
GACGAACGCUGGCGGCGUGCUUAACACAUGCAAGUCGAACGGAACGGCCCUGUCUUUGUGGGGUGCUCGAGUGGCGAACGGGUGAGUUACACGUGAGUAACCUGUCCCUGCCUUUGGGAUAACUUCAGGAAACUGGGGCUCAUACCGGCUAGGAGUUCCUGCUGCUUGGUGGGGGUUGGUAAGUUUCGGCGGUUGGGGAUGGACUCGCGGCUUAUCAGCUUGUUGGUGGGGUAGUGGCUUACCAAGGCUUUGACGGGUAGCCGGCCUGGGAGGGUGACCGGCCACAUUGGGACUGAGAUACGGCCCAGACUCCUACGGGAGGCAGCAGUGGGGAAUAUUGCACAAUGGGCGGAAGCCUGAUGCAGCAACGCCGCGUGCGGGAUGACGGCCUUCGGGUUGUAAACCGCUUUCGCCUGUGACGAAGCGUGAGUGACGGUAAUGGGUAAAGAAGCACCGGCUAACUACGUG